CGUGAAAUUUCCACGAGACUGCCUGUUAAACUGUCACUCGCGUCACUGCCCCAGAACUCAACCUCUCGAAGCCAAAGCUCCAAACUCUGUUUUCCUGGUUGCUGAGAGACCCGAAAACCCAAAGCUUUCAAAUCUGAACCAACUUUUCCUCCUCUCCUUAAACACCCUUCCCUUCAAUUGCACUCAAGCUUCCCCAUUUCACAAUCCAAACCAAACCCACCCUCUGAUCAGCAACAACAUUAACGUCUCACCACAAUUUCCAUGCUAUCAAAAAUCAAACGCCCCGACUUCCCCAACCACAGCUCCAUUCGAUUUUCUGCAUCAAAUUGGCCCAACCCACUUGUUCAUCUGUGAAAAAGAUCACUGCUUUACAUUGUUGUACAGUCAAAUGACUCUCUUUCUUGCUGAAGAUGCUGAGAUUCGUGGGAUUCAGGUCUAAGUUGUACACUUCAUCCAUAUGACUGCAAAAAUGUUACGGUAAGAAAUGUUACGAUUUUGGCUCACGUAGUUGAAGCUCCAAAUACUGAUGGAAUGGAUCCUGGUAAGUUUAUCCUACUCGGGGUUUUUUCCCCCAACUUUAUGUUUGAUGUGCUGAAUAAUGCUAUUCUGGUACUGUUAUAUUUUGCAUGGGUUUCCAUUCUCUUUAUUUAUCCGUUGCAGAUGAGCUUAUAAAUAUUAUUUAAAUGCUCCGGUUCACUAAAAAAGAUAUUGGGUGACACUAAAGAUAUAAAGUGAAAGUGAAGUGUGCAGUUUACACCACGUUCAGAAUCAGAAAUGCUUCAAUUAAUAGGUUUUGGAGUUUUGUUAACCAACUAAACAGGUUUGAUCGAUGAACAGGGAGAAGUCAAUUGUGUGUUCGAGAGAUGAUGAUUAUUAUAAAGGCUAGCCAUGCUAUUUGGUUUUGCUUUGUCUAGAUGCUGCAUGGGACGGGUUGCUUCAGUAUGGAAACCAGACCACUUGGAGCAGAAAGAAUUAACUUAAAAUGUAUAUCAAAUGUCAUCUACAUCCUAGUAACUUGUUAAUUGUUAUUUGUGGUUUCGUGUGUGUCUGAGAGAGAGAGAGAGAGAGAGAGAGAGAAUUAACUUAUUUUCUUGUAUGCAAAAUUGCCUUCAUUGUGUUUGCAUGUAUAUUGCCAUCUUGAAGUUGUAACAGAGACUACUUGGUCGUUGUAUCCUGUUACGUAUUAAUCAUUAAAAUUGGGGGGCGCCAUUCAGCGCCCUUGUGUGUGUCGUUCU